rnacentral:rRNA from 1 species
UGAGGAAUAUUGGGUCAAUGGGCGAGAGCCUGAACCAGCCAAGUAGCGUGCAGGAUGACGGCCCUAUGGGUUGUAAACUGCUUUUAUAAGGGAAUAAAGUGAGCCUCGUGAGGCUUUUUGCAUGUACCUUAUGAAUAAGGACCGGCUAAUUCCGUGCCAGCAGCCGCGGUAAUACGGAAGGUCCGGGCGUUAUCCGGAUUUAUUGGGUUUAAAGGGAGCGUAGGCCGGAGAUUAAGCGUGUUGUGAAAUGUAGAUGCUCAACAUCUGCACUGCAGCGCGAACUGGUUUCCUUGAGUACGCACAAAGUGGGCGGAAUUCGCCGUGUAGCGGUGAAAUGCUUAGAUAUGGCGAAGAACUCCGAUUGCGAAGGCAGCUGACGGGUGCGUAACUGACGCUCAUGCUCGAAAGUGCGGGUAUCGAACAGGAUUAGAUACCCUGGUAGU